UUCCGUAGGGGUGACCUGCGCAAGGAUCAUUAC
rnacentral:rRNA from 1 species